UACGAAGGGGGCGAGCGUUGUUCGGAAUUACUGGGCGUAAAGGGCGCGUAGGCGGCGACCCAAGUCAGAUGUGAAAGUCCUGGGCUUAACCUGGGGACUGCAUUUGAUACUGGGUUGCUUGAAUUCGGGAGAGGAUAGCGGAAUUCCCAGUGUAGAGGUGAAAUUCGUAGAUAUUGGGAAGAACACCGGUGGCGAAGGCGGCUAUCUGGACCGACAUUGACGCUGAGGCGCGAAAGCCAGGGGAGCAAACGGG
rnacentral:rRNA from 1 species